UUGUUCUCCAUCAUCUGUACCAUGGAUAACCUCCUUCUCAAGUUUUUGGUUGUUUUUCUCAAGUUUUUCAUUGUUUUUCUUUUUCUUUUUGGAAGGAGCAAGUGGGGAGGGGUCCCCCGGAUGAACCAAUAGGGAGAGGGCCCCUACCUUGAUAGGAGUUGAGCCUAGGUCGUAGCGUUGAGAAUCGUCAUGUGCUAUCUAGUUAGGCCUUGGCUAACUUCAAGUAUUUAUCACUUGCAAACAAAAUAGACAUCAGUGCUUGAUGCAAACGUGAUAAGCUCUUGAUUUUCAUUAGUAUAGUGCUCAUUCAACAAAAAAAAUUAAUUAUUCUAGGGAUUGCUAAUUCUAACCCAUGCUUUUGUGCGGUUUGUAUAAGGUCGAGGCUCCAAACAAAAUUAAAUAGUGUCGAGAAAUGUG
rnacentral:lncRNA from 1 species